rnacentral:sRNA from 1 species
UUUGCCAAGAUGAAACAAGAACUGGAAGCCUAAGUGUUAGGCGGAAAAAUACUAAAGAGAUGUUUGGUGGCUUCUUCAAAAGUGUGGUGAAAAGUGCUGAUGAAGUCCUUUUUACUGGAGUUAAGGAGGUAGAUGACUUCUUUGAGCAAGAGAAGAACUUCCUUAUUAACUAUUACAAUAGGAUCAAAGAUUCUUGUGUGAAAGCUGACAAAAUGACCAGAUCUCAUAAAAAUGUUGCCGAUGACUAUAUCCACACCGCAGCCUGCUUACAUAGCCUGGCUUUAGAAGAGCCCACAGUCAUCAAAAAGUACCUAUUGAAGGUUGCUGAGCUAUUUGAAAAACUAAGGAAAGUAGAGGGUCGAGUUUCAUCAGAUGAAGAUUUGAAGCUAACAGAGCUCCUCCGAUACUACAUGCUCAACAUUGAAGCUGCUAAGGAUCUCUUAUACAGACGCACCAAAGCCCUCAUUGACUAUGAGAACUCAAACAAAGCUCUGGAUAAGGCCCGGUUAAAGAGCAAAGACGUCAAGUUGGCUGAGGCACACCAGCAGGAGUGCUGCCAGAAAUUUGAACAACUUUCCGAAUCUGCAAAAGAAGAACUGAUAAAUUUCAAACGGAAGAGAGUGGCAGCAUUUAGAAAGAAUCUAAUUGAAAUGUCUGAACUGGAAAUAAAACAUGCCAGGAACAAUGUCUCCCUUUUGCAGAGCUGUAUUGACUUGUUCAAGAAUAACUGAUAUGCUUUCACUCAGAAGAAAAGAAAUGAAUGUGAAAGAAAGCCAAGCAUCACUUGCACUUAAAUCAUUACCACGGAAGAUAUAUUAGCUUCAACUCUAGUUUAAAAUUAUGUGAAUAAAUAUUUUGAUUUCUACAAAUCUUAACAUUUAACCAUGUUGGUUUAAAAAUAUUAUUGCUUGCUACUUGGACAUAACUAAUUUUUCCUUGUGCAUUUAAUA